GACGAACGCUGGCGGCGUGCUUAACACAUGCAAGUCGAGCGGUAAGGCCCUUUCGGGGGUACGACGAGCGGCGAACGGGUGAGUAACACGUGGGUGACCUGCCCUCAGCUCUGGGAGUAAGCCUGGGAAACGUGGGUCUAAUACCGGAUAUGACUCCAUGACGCAUGUUGGUGGGGUGGAAAGCCUUGUGCGGCUGAGGAUGGGCCCGCGGCCUAUCAGCUUGUUGGGUGGGGUGAGGCCUACCAAGGCGACGACGGGUAGCCGGCCUGAGAGGGCGACCGGCCACACUGGGACUGAGACACGGCCCAGACUCCUACGGGAGGCAGCAGUGGGGAAUCUUGCGCAAUGGGCGAAAGCCUGACGCAGCGACGCCGCGUGAGGGAUGACGGCCU
rnacentral:rRNA from 1 species